UACGUAGGGGGCUAGCGUUGUCCGGAAUCAUUGGGCGUAAGGAGCGUGUAGGCGGUCCGGUAAGUCCGCUGUGAAAGUCGGGGGCUCAACCCUCGAAUGCCGGUGGAUACUGUCGGGCUAGAGUGCGGAAGAGGCGAGUGGAAUUCCUGGUGUAGCGGUGAAAUGCGCAGAUAUCAGGAGGAACACCUAUUCGAAGGCAGCUCGCUGGGACGUAACUGACGCUGAGACGCGAAAGCGUGGGGAGCAAACGGG
rnacentral:rRNA from 1 species